UACGUAGGGUCCAAGCGUUGUCCGGAAUUAUUGGGCGUAAAGAGCUCGUAGGCGGUUUGUCGCGUCUGCUGUGAAAUCCCGGGGCUCAACCUUGGGUCUGCAGUGGGUACGGGCAGACUGGAGUGCGGUAGGGGAGAAUGGAAUUCCUGGUGUAGCGGUGGAAUGCGCAGAUAUCAGGAGGAACACCGAUGGCGAAGGCAGGUCUCUGGGCCGUAACUGACGCUGAGGAGCGAAAGCGUGGGGAGCGAACAGG
rnacentral:rRNA from 1 species